AUUGAACGCUGGCGGCAGGCCUAACACAUGCAAGUCGAGCGGAUGAAGGGAGCUUGCUCCUGGAUUCAGCGGCGGACGGGUGAGUAAUGCCUAGGAAUCUGCCUGGUAGUGGGGGAUAACGUCCGGAAACGGGCGCUAAUACCGCAUACGUCCUGAGGGAGAAAGUUGGGGAUCUUCGGACCUCACGCUAUCAGAUGAGCCUAGGUCGGAUUAGCUAGUUGGUGGGGUAAAGGCCUACCAAGGCGACGAUCCGUAACUGGUCUGAGAGGAUGAUCAGUCACACUGGAACUGAGACACGGUCCAGACUCCUACGGGAGGCAGCAGUGGGGAAUAUUGGACAAUGGGCGAAAGCCUGAUACAGCCAUGCCGCGUGUGUGAAGAAGGUCUUCGGAUUGUAAAGCACUUUAAGUUGGGAGGAAGGGCAGUAAGUUAAUACCUUGCUGUUUUGACGUUACCAACAGAAUAAGCACCGGCUAACUUCGUG
rnacentral:rRNA from 1 species